rnacentral:ncRNA from 1 species
AAAAAAUUUAAUUAUUGUUUAGAAGAUUUAUUUUGUAAUUAUAAUGUAAAUAAUUAUUUGAAGGAUAAGAUAUUUUUUAAAAAAAUAUUUAAUAAUUAAUUGAUUAACAUUUAUAUUGAUUAAAGCUUAAGGGGUUAAGAGAUAGUAAAUAAUAUAGUUAAUAGUAAUAAAAUUAGUGCCAGCAAUUGCGGUUAAACUAAUAGGAAAAACUAUAAGUAAAUUAUAAUAAUUUAGGAAUAUUUAAAAUGAGGGUUACUUUAUAGCUAAAUGAAUAUGAUUAUUAUUGGGUGAAAUUUUAAUGGUUAGGUGGGUGGCAUAGGUAGAGUUAAUUUAAAUAAAUUUUAAAAUUAAUAUAUAAACUAGGAUUUGAUACCCUAUUAUUUAAAGUUAAAAAAGUUAAAUUGAAAAUUAAAUGUAAAUCAUUAAAUUUAAGUAAUUUGGCGGUAUUUUAAAUAGUUAGAGGAACUUGUGAAGUAAAUGAUGAUCCACGAUAGGAAGGUCUUAAUAAAUUUUUAUGUAUUGUUGUUUAAAGAUUAUUUUAAAAGAAGGUUAAUUGAAAAAUUUAUAAAUAAAUAUUAAUUCAAAUCAAAGUGUAGAACUAUUGAGUUUACAUGAGUUACUUUUAAUUUUAUUACGGGAUAAAUGAUUUUAAUGAUCAUUAUUGAACUAGUAUUUAAUAGUAAAAUAGGAUAAAAUUUUAUUAAUUGAAAUUUCUUUAAAAUGUGUACAAAUCGCCCGUCAUUUUCAUGAAGGUUAGAGAUAAUAUAAGUGAAAGAAGUCGUAACAAAGUAAGCGUACAGGAAUGUGUGUUUAGAUAGUA